GCCCCUAUAGCUUAAUGGAUAGAGUACAGCCCUCCGAAGGCUGUGGUCUCCGUUCGACUCGGAGUAGGGGCACAA
rnacentral:tRNA from 3 species